UCGACCAGAUGUGCCCAUUGAUGAGACACUACCAUGACACACACCUCUCCGAAGGUCAAUAAGUGUGUGUAAUGUACCACUCAGAUAUAGAUUUGUCGUUGAGAAUGACAAUACACCAUAUAUCAUUGAGAAUGAUAUUUUCUUGACCUAUUCGAAAAUCGUUAUAAAUAAAGACUCUGACAGAUGGCUUGAAGCCAUGAAAUCCGAAAUAGACUCCCUGUACAUCAACUCAAGUAUAGACUUUGGUUGAAGCACCUAUGAGUAUGACCCAAUAGUUUGCUAACAGGAAUGUCCAUUCGGAUGUUGCUUGCUAUAGCCGUACACUAUCU
rnacentral:lncRNA from 1 species